CGCCUGGGGAGUACGGGUGAGGUAACGGCUCACCAAGGCAUCGACGGGUAGCUGGUCUGAGAGGAUGAUCAGCCACACUGGGACUGAGACACGGCCCAGACUCCUACGGGAGGCAGCAGUAGGGAAUAUUGCACAAUGGGCGAAAGCCUGAUGCAGCAACGCCGCGUGCGGGAAGAAGGCCCUAGGGUUGUAAACCGCUCUCAGCAGGGAAGAAAAUGACGGUACCUGCAGAAGAAGGUGCGGCCAACUACGUGCCAGCAGCCGCGGUGACACGUAGGCACCAAGCGUUGUCCGGAUUUAUUGGGCGUAAAGAGCUCGUAGGCGGUUCAGUUAGUCGGGUGUGAAAACUCUGGGCUCAACCCAGAGACGCCACUCGAUACUGCUGUGACUAGAGUGCGGUAGGGGAGCGGGGAAUUCCUAGUGUAGCGGUGAAAUGCGCAGAUAUUAGGAGGAACACCAGUGGCGAAGGCGCCGCUCUGGGCCGUAACUGACGCUGAGGAGCGAAAGCGUGGGUAGCAAACAGGAUUAGAUACCCUGGUAGUCCACGCCGUAAACGUUGGGCACUAGGUGUGGGUCUCAACCAACGAUAUCCGCGCCGUCGCUAACGCAUUAAGUGCCCCGCCUGGGGAGUACGG
rnacentral:rRNA from 1 species